ACAUGCAAGUCGAGCGAGUGAAAUUAAUUGAUCCCUUCGGGGUGACGUUAAUGGAUCUAGCGGCGGACGGGUGAGUAACACGUGGGCAACCUGCCUGUAAGACUGGGAUAACUCGCGGAAACGCGAGCUAAUACCGGAUAACACUUCGAACCACAUGGUUUGAAGAUGAAAGGCGGCGCAAGCUGUCACUUACAGAUGGGCCCGCGGCGCAUUAGCUAGUUGGUGAGGUAACGGCUCACCAAGGCGACGAUGCGUAGCCGACCUGAGAGGGUGAUCGGCCACACUGGGACUGAGACACGGCCCAGACUCCUACGGGAGGCAGCAGUAGGGAAUCUUCCGCAAUGGACGAAAGUCUGACGGAGCAACGCCGCGUGAGUGAUGAAGGUUUUCGGAUUGUAAAACUCUGUUGUUAGGGAAGAACAAGUACAAUAGUAACUGAUUGUACCUUGACGGUACCUAACCAGAAAGCCCCGGCUAACUACGUGCCAGCAGCCGCGGUAAUACGUAGGGGGCAAGCGUUGUCCGGAAUUAUUGGGCGUAAAGCGCGCGCAGGCGGUCCUUUAAGUCUGAUGUGAAAGCCCACGGCUUAACCGUGGAGGGUCAUUGGAAACUGGAGGACUUGAGUGCAGAAGAGGAGAGUGGAAUUCCACGUGUAGCGGUGAAAUGCGUAGAGAUGUGGAGGAACACCAGUGGCGAAGGCGACUCUCUGGUCUGUAACUGACGCUGAGGCGCGAAAGCGUGGGGAGCGAACAGGAUUAGAUACCCUGGUAGUCCACGCCGUAAACGAUGAGUGCUAGGUGUUAGGGGGUUUCCGCCCCUUAGUGCUGAAGUUAACGCAUUAAGCACUCCGCCUGGGGAGUACGGCCGCAAGGCUGAAACUCAAAAGAAUUGACGGGGGCCCGCACAAGCGGUGGAGCAUGUGGUUUAAUUCGAAGCAACGCGAAGAACCUUACCAGGUCUUGACAUCCUCUGACCACCCUAGAGAUAGGGCUUUCCCUUCGGGGACAGAGUGACAGGUGGUGCAUGGUUGUCGUCAGCUCGUGUCGUGAGAUGUUGGGUUAAGUCCCGCAACGAGCGCAACCCUUGUUCUUAGUUGCCAGCAUUUAGUUGGGCACUCUAAGGAGACUGCCGGUGACAAACCG
rnacentral:rRNA from 1 species